AUUGAACGCUGGCGGCAGGCCUAACACAUGCAAGUCGAGCGGAUGGCGGGAGCUUGCUCCUUGAUUCAGCGGCGGACGGGUGAGUAAUGCCUAGGAAUCUGCCUGGUAGUGGGGGACAACGUUUCGAAAGGAACGCUAAUACCGCAUACGUCCUACGGGAGAAAGCAGGGGACCUUCGGGCCUUGCGCUAUCAGAUGAGCCUAGGUCGGAUUAGCUAGUUGGUGGGGUAAUGGCUCACCAAGGCGACGAUCCGUAACUGGUCUGAGAGGAUGAGCAGUCACACUGGAACUGAGACACGGUCCAGACUCCUACGGGAGGCAGCAGUGGGAAAUAUUGGACAAUGGGCGAAAGCCUGAUCCAGCCAUGCCGCGUGUGUGAAGAAGGUCUUCGGAUUGUAAAGCACUUUAAGUUGGGAGGAAGGGCAGUAAGUUAAUACCUUGCUGUUUUGACGUUACCGACAGAAUAAGCACCGGCUAACUCUGUGCCAGCCGCCGCCGUAAGAC
rnacentral:rRNA from 1 species